rnacentral:rRNA from 1 species
UCGAGAAUCUUUCGCAAUGGGCGCAAGCCUGACGAAGCGACGCCGUGUGAGCGAAGAAGGCCUUCGGGUUGUAAAGCUCUUUCGCUAGGGAACAAGAAAGUCCGGAUAAUACUCGGACAAUUUGAUGGUACUUGGUAAAGAAGCACCGGCUAACUCCGUGCCAGCAGCUGCGGUAAUACGGAGGGUGCAAGCAUUGAUCGGAAUUACUGGGCGUAAAGGGCGCGUAGGCGGCCGAAAAAGUCAGAUGUGAAAUUCCAGGGCUCAACCCUGGAGCUGCAUUUGAAACUUUUCGGCUAGAGUGCAAUUAGGGAAAACGGAAUUCCACGUGUAGCGGUGAAAUGCGUAGAUAUGUGGAAGAACACCGGUGGUGAAGACGGUUUUCUGGGUUGUAACUGACGCUGAGGCGCGAAAGCUAGGGGAGCAAACA